rnacentral:lncRNA from 1 species
GGCGGGAGGGACACGCGGAUGGGAACAUACCAGCUGGUCCAGGCCUCUGCUCCCCCCAGCUCCUCCUCCUUGGCUGGCAGCUCUUCUGGGCUCCUGAGGUGCUGCGCAGCCCCUUCCCUGGCCCUGGGACACCCAGUGCCUGAGAUGAAAGAGGAGUUGCUUCCAUGGAGGGUCCCAGUGCAGGCUGGGGGGCGCUGGCCCUCAGGACACCAGGCCCCCAAGACAUAGGGACACCAGAAGCCCCCGCUCUGCCUCCAAGGUCCAGCAGCCCCAAAGCCCCUGCUCAGAAGCCAGCGAUGGGAGGGCAGGGCCUGCCUGUGGGACCCACCACGGGCGCAGCAAUCGCCAGGCCCUGGGCAGACAGCAGCGCAGCCUGAGUCCAGGUCUGGGGAGCAGGCAGGUGACAACCAGUGUCCUACUUUCCUGCAUUAAAACACCCAAAUCAACAGGGCGAAGGCCGGGAGGAGGGGACCUGAGGGAGCCAGCCGGGCGCUCAGUCUGCUUCGCUGGGAUGCUUGUCGAGGUCGGGACCGCACUACCAAACUCACCUCUGUGCACCCUGCGGGGCCCAGGAGACUCGGUCCUCCCUGGGCUCUCCCAGGCCUGGGGUGGACGUUGGAAUAAAGUGGGGACAACACGAUGAGACCCCAGCCCUGGACGUGCCCUCGCAGAAGCCCGAGAUCAAACCUGGGAGAUUUGUGGCUGGACAGCACCACCUGGUGGACACAUUGGAGAUUACCAAAGCCGAACAGUCAAUUCGUUCUUGGUUCUGGGAUUUUCUUAAUUGGGUCUUAGCUGGGGCUUCCUUUCCCUUUCCCCAGUAGCAGGGGCUUUGUGACUAUCAGAAACACCUGCCAGGCCUGUGCAACAUGGGGAGACCUCAUCUCUGCAAAACACACACACACACACACACACACACACACACACACACACAUUAGUGAGGCGCGGUCGUCCCAGAUAUUCAGGACGCUGAGAUGGGAGGAUCGCUUGAACCCGGGAGGUCGAGGCUGCAGUGAGUCGUGAUCAUGCCACCGCACUCCAGUCAGGGUGACAGAGAGAGACCCUGUCUCUAAAGAAAGAAAAGAAAAGGCCGGGCACAGUAGCUCACACUUGUAAUCCUAACACUUUGGGAGGCCGAGGCAGGCGGAUUACCUGAGGUCGGGAGUUCCAGACCAGCCUGACCAACAUGGAGAAACCCCGUCUCUACUAAAAAAUACAAAAGUUAGCCAGGCGUGGUGGCGGGCGCCUGUAAUCCCAGGUACUUAGGAGGCUGAGGCAGGAGAACCGCUUGAACCGGGGAAGCAGAAGUUGCAGUGAGCCGAGAUCACGCCAUUGCACUCCAGCCUGGGCAACAAGAGUGAAACUCUGUCUCAAAAAAAAAAAAAAAAAAAAAAAAAAAAAAAAAAAAAAGAAAGAAAAGAGAAGAAGCCCUUGUCUUCUAAUAAGAUGGUGUUGGUUUUCAGAGAGCCCAAUCCAGGCACUUCAAACAAGGCAGGGAAAUCAAUGGCCCUGAAGAAAGAGUUUCUCUUCAACAAGCCCCUCCGUCCCUGACACUGGCACCCUGGCAUUCACCCACCAGCCCCUCGUCCCUGACACUGGCACCGGCAUUCACCCACCAGCCCCUCCGUCCCUGACACUGGCACCCUGGCAUUCACCCACCAGCCCCUCCGUCCCUGACACUGGCACCCUGGCAUUCACCCACCAGCCCCUCUGUCCCUGACACUGGCACCCUGGCAUUCACCCACCAGCCCCUCCAUCCCUGACACUGGCACCCUGGCAUUCACCCACCAGCCCCUCUGUCCCUGACACUGGCACCCCGGCAUUCACCCACUGUCCGGGGCAACUAACGUUUCCUCCCACCACUGAUGGGACAGCACCCUGGCCUACCACUUUUGAGGGGAAAAAAAUUAGAAAUCCCUGGCUAAAGAGGAGACAAAUCGAGCCUAAAAUCAAGCCUUGGUGUCUCGCUUUUUAAAUCUACCUAUACCUUUUGU